GAUUAUUCAAACGCACUGCGCCCGGAAAUGGUGGCACCACGCACUGCCCCCCGCUCACUCAAGGCUGGAAUACGCUGUGGAGGUACAGCCGACACUCGUCCUCAUACAUUCUAACUGGGCAGCAGUAACAUGCCUGAGGUGUGUGCGCCCGCCGGGUGAUUGGCGCCACCUUUAAGAACGAGUGUUCAUUCCUGACAACUGCCCUGUGUAAACCCGCCAUAGUGUGGGCGGUCCAGCCUGACCGCGGAGUCCUGCCGGCAUCACGAGCAGCAUCUGAAAACUGCAACAUGAUGAGGGCCUGGCCCGUCACAGUAUUCAGACUGUCAGCUCUUGUGGUCUCACCGUACAAGUAACAUCCCAGCUCACCUGUAUAGGGCGCUCACCGCUCCCCAGUAGAGAGCGUGGCCCCCAAUGUACCACAUACAUCGCUGUAAAAGAAGGAGAGCACAACAAUAUAUACACCCGCUUCUGUACCAAUAAGGCUUUAUACACCCGCUUCUGUACCAAUAAGGUUUUAUACACCCGCUUCUGUACCAAUAAGGCUUUAUACACCCGCUUCUAUACCAAUAAGGCUUUAUACACCCCCUUCUGUACCAAUAAGGUUUUAUACACCGCGUUCUGUACCAAUAAGGUUUUAUACACCCCGUUCUGUACCAAUAAGGUUUUAUACACCCCGUUCUGUACCAAUAAGGCUUUAUACACCCCGUUCUGUAUCAAUAAGGCUUUAUACACCCCGUUCUGUAUCAAUAAGGCUUUAUACACCCCGUUCUGUAUCAAUAAGGCUUUAUACACCCCGUUCUGUAUUAUUAAGGUUUUAUACACCCCGUUCUGUACCAAUAAGGCUUUAUACACCCCGUUCUGUAUCAAUAAGGCUUUAUACACCCCGUUCUGUAUCAAUAAGGCUUUAUACACCCCGUUCUGUAUCAAUAAGGCUUUAUACACCCCGUUCUGUAUUAUUAAGGCUUUAUACACCCCGUUCUGUACCAAUAAGGCUUUAUACACCCGUUCUGUACCAAUAAGGCUUUAUACACCCGUUCUGUACCAAUAAGGCUUUAUACACCCCGUUCUGUACCAAUAAGGCUUUAUACACCCCGUUCUGUACCAAUAAGGCUUUAUACACCCCGUUCUGUACCAAUAAGGUUUUAUACACCCCCGUUCUGUACCAAUAAGGCUUUAUACACCCCCUUCUGUACCAAUAAGGCUUUAUACACCCCGUUCUGUACCAAUAAGGUUUUAUACACCCCGUUCUGUACCAAUAAGGUUUUAUACACCCCGUUCUGUACCAAUAAGGCUUUAUACACCCCGUUCUGUAUCAAUAAGGCUUUAUACACCCCGUUCUGUAUCAAUAAGGCUUUAUACACCCCGUUCUGUAUCAAUAAGGCUUUAUACACCCCGUUCUGUAUCAAUAAGGCUUUAUACACCCCGUUCUGUAUUAUUAAGGUUUUAUACACCCCGUUCUGUAUCAAGGUUUUAUACACCCCGUUCUGUAUUAAGGUUUUAUACACCACGUUCUGUAUUAAUAAGGCUUUAUACACCCCGUUCUGUAUUAAUAAGGUUUUAUACACCCGGUUCUGCAUUAAUAAGGCUUUAUACACCCGGUUCUGUAUUAAUAAGGUUUAUACACCCGGUUCUGUAUUAAUAAGGCUUUAUACACCCGGUUCUGUAUUAAUAAGGUUUAUACACCCGGUUCUGUAUUAAUAAGGCUUUAUACACCCGGUUCUGUAUUAAUAAGGUUUAUACACCCGGUUCUGUAUUAAUAAGGCUUUAUACACCCGGUUCUGUACUAAUAAGGCUUUAUACACCCAGUUCUGUACUACUAAGGCUUUAUACACCCAGUUCUGUACUAAUAAGGCUUUAUACACCCGGUUCUGUAUUAAUAAGGUUUAUACACCCGGUUCUGUAUUAAUAAGGUUUAUACACCCGGUUCUGUAUUAAUAAGGUUUAUACACCCGGUUCUGUAUUAAUAAGGCUUUAUACACCCGGUUCUGUAUUAAUAAGGUUUAUACACCCGGUUCUGUAUUAAUAAGGCUUUAUACACCCGGUUCUGUAUUAAUAAGGCUUUAUACACCUAGUUCUGUAUUAAUAAGGCGUUAUACACCCAGUUCUGUAUUAAUAAGGCUUUAUACACCCGGUUCUGUAUUAAUAAGGCUUUA